rnacentral:tRNA from 1 species
GCACUGGUGGCUCAGUGGUAGAUGCCUCACCUUUUACGGGGGAGACCUGGGUUCGAUUCCCAGCCAGUGCA